rnacentral:rRNA from 1 species
UACGUAGGGCGCAAGCGUUGUCCGGAAUUAUUGGGCGUAAAGAGCUCGUAGGCGGUUUGUCGCGUCUGCUGUGAAAACCUAAGGCUCAACCUCGGGCCUGCAGUGGGUACGGGCAGACUAGAGUGCGGUAGGGGAGAUUGGAAUUCCUGGUGUAGCGGUGGAAUGCGCAGAUAUCAGGAGGAACACCGAUGGCGAAGGCAGAUCUCUGGGCCGUAACUGACGCUGAGGAGCGAAAGCGUGGGGAGCGAACAGG